rnacentral:rRNA from 1 species
UACGUAGGGGGCAAGCGUUGUCCGGAAUCAUUGGGCGUAAAGCGCGUGUAGGCGGCCCGGUAAGUCCGCUGUGAAAGUCCAGGGCUCAACCCUGGAAUGCCGGUGGAUACUGUCGGGCUCGAGUCCGGAAGAGGCGAGUGGAAUUCCUGGUGUAGCGGUGAAAUGCGCAGAUAUCGGGAAGAACACCCGUGGCGAAGGCGGCACUCUGGGACGGUACUGACGCUGAGACGCGAAAGCGUGGGGAGCGAACAGG